rnacentral:rRNA from 1 species
GACGAACGCUGGCGGCGUGCUUAACACAUGCAAGUCGAACGGAAAGGCCCUGCUUUUGUGGGUUGCUCGAGUGGCGAACGGGUGAGUAACACGUGAGUAACCUGCCCUUGACUUUGGGAUAACUUCAGGAAACUGGGGCUAAUACCGGAUAGGAGCUCCUGCUGCCUGGUGGGGGUUGGAAAGUUUCGGCGGUUGGGGAUGGACUCGCGGCUUAUCAGCUUGUUGGUGGGGUAGUGGCUUACCAAGGCUUUGACGGGUAGCCGGCCUGAGAGGGUGACCGGCCACAUUGGGACUGAGAUACGGCCCAGACUCCUACGGGAGGCAGCAGUGGGGAAUAUUGCACAAUGGGCGGAAGCCUGAUGCAGCAACGCCGCGUGCGGGAUGACGGCCUUCGGGUUGUAAACCGCUUUCGCCUGUGACGAAGCGUGAGUGACGGUAAUGGGUAAAGAAGCACCGGCUAACUACGUG